GAACGAGAUCUUCGGGUCUAGUGGCGCACGGGUGCGUAACGCGUGGGAAUCUGCCCCUUGGUUCGGAAUAACUCAGAGAAAUUUGAGCUAAUACCGGAUAACGACGAAAGUCCAAAGAUUUAUCGCCGAGGGAUGAGCCCGCGUAGGAUUAGCUAGUUGGUGGGGUAAAGGCCUACCAAGGCGACGAUCCUUAGCUGGUCUGAGAGGAUGAUCAGCCACACUGGGACUGAGACACGGCCCAG
rnacentral:rRNA from 1 species